rnacentral:tRNA from 1 species
ACCUUUUAGGGGGCAGGAUUACUCCUGCCCUUUUUCUAGAAAGAGGACUACUUAUGAAGAGAAGUUUUGUUGUUCUAUCUAAUUUAUUGGUC